rnacentral:rRNA from 3 species
UGGAGAGUUUGAUCCUGGCUCAGAGCGAACGCUGGCGGCAGGCUUAACACAUGCAAGUCGAACGCAUCCUUCGGGAUGAGUGGCAGACGGGUGAGUAACACGUGGGAACGUGCCCUCCGGUCUGGGAUAACCCUGGGAAACUAGGGCUAAUACCGGAUACGUGCUUUGGCAGAAAGGUUUACUGCCGGAGGAUCGGCCCGCGUCUGAUUAGCUAGUUGGUGGGGUAACGGCCUACCAAGGCGACGAUCAGUAGCUGGUCUGAGAGGAUGAUCAGCCACACUGGGACUGAGACACGGCCCAGACUCCUACGGGAGGCAGCAGUGGGGAAUAUUGGACAAUGGGCGCAAGCCUGAUCCAGCCAUGCCGCGUGAGUGAUGACGGCCUUAGGGUUGUAAAGCUCUUUUCUCCGGGACGAUAAUGACGGUACCGGAGGAAUAAGCCCCGGCUAACUUCGUGCCAGCAGCCGCGGUA